AUGACUAGAAAAGUAGUCGAUAUAUUUUUGUAAAAUAAAAAGAUCAGUAUUCCGUAUUUGCUCAAGCGAUCCUUCCAUCAAACCAAGUAUUUGAUGAUUCCUGAUUAAAUUUUCUGGCCGAUAAAUAUCUUCUUCCUCCUGGGAGAAAUACUCAUCGUGAUCAAAUUCUUGAGGCUUUAUGAAUACGUUUUUAGAAGCCAUAUCCAUUAUAUAAAGAACCAAGGUUUUGAGCGGAUUACUGUCUCGAAAAUGAGUUGAACGAAUUAAGUCGCUUCCAAUUUCAUACCGAAGAUGUUUUGGCUCAUCAGAAAUAGUAAACUGCAAAUUAGUAGAGAUGCAAUUUAUUAUUGGGUCAUAACUGUGAUUAGACUUAACGAAAGAAAGGACUUCAGGGAAUAAAUUUUUAAAAAUGACAAGAUUGUUAGGAGUAACAUUAUGAAUACCUUUUUUCUGGAUAAAACAAUUUAGAAAGCCACAUAAAAAUGAUAUCUGAGAAAAUAUCAUAACUGCUUCGAAGCUUGGGGUUUCCUUGUCAAGCUCAUCUUUGUCAUAAGAUGCUGAGCUAAUUUCGUCUAUCGAGCUCUCCAACAUUUUAAUGACAUUUUGCAAACUAUCACAGUCAAUAGUAUGGUUACUAUUGAAAGGAUAGCAUCCUUCUGUAGACUGUUUACAUAUUUCGUCAGUAGUAUAAGGAAAACGAAGCGUAACAGGCGACCAUGCUUCUUUGAGGUGAAACAAAUUACGUUCGAAAGGUGAUCGUAUUUCUGUGGUGAUAUAAGAUAAUGACAACGGUCUAUAGAAGAUCAUCAUUAACAAAUCAAAAAUGAUAAUAGAAGAAUCGGUAAAUGAGAAAAAUGGUAGUUCACCCUCUUUGCUGAACAAAUGAUAUA